rnacentral:rRNA from 1 species
GACGAACGCUGGCGGCGUGCUUAACACAUGCAAGUCGAACGGCAAGGCCCUGCUUUUGUGGGGUGCUCGAGUGGCGAACGGGUGAGUAACACGUGAGUAACCUGCCCUUGACUUUGGGAUAACUUCAGGAAACUGGGGCUAAUACCGGAUAGGAGCUCCUGCUGCAUGGUGGGGGUUGGAAAGUUUCGGCGGUUGGGGAUGGACUCGCGGCUUAUCAGCUUGUUGGUGGGGGAGUGGCUUACCAAGGCUUUGACGGGUAGCCGGCCUGAGAGGGUGACCGGCCACAUUGGGACUGUGAUACGGCCCAGACUCCUACGGGAGGCAGCAGUGGGGAAUAUUGCACGAUGGGCGGAAGCCUGAUGCAGCAACGCCGCGUGCGGGAUGACGGCCUUCGUGUUGUAGACCGCUUUCGCCUGUGACGAAGCGUGAGUGACGGUAAUGGGUAAAGAAGCACCGGCUAACUACGUG